rnacentral:rRNA from 1 species
AGCGGAGUUGAUGAGGUGCUUGCACCUCUGAUGCUUAGCGGCGGGCGGGUGAGUAACACGUGGGUAACCUGCCUGUAAGACUGGGAUAACAUUCGGAAACGAAUGCUAAUACCGGAUACGCGAUAUGGUCGCAUGACUGAAUCGGGAAAGAUGGAGCAAUCUAUCACUUACAGAUGGACCCGCGGCGCAUUAGCUAGUUGGUGAGGUAACGGCUCACCAAGGCGACGAUGCGUAGCCGACCUGAGAGGGUGAUCGGCCACACUGGGACUGAGACACGGCCCAGACUCCUACGGGAGGCAGCAGUAGGGAAUCUUCCGCAAUGGACGAAAGUCUGACGGAGCAACGCCGCGUGAGUGAUGAAGGUUUUCGGAUCGUAAAGCUCUGUUGCCAGGGAAGAAUGCUCGGGAGAGUAACUGCUCCCAAGGCGACGGUACCUGAGAAGAAAGCCCCGGCUAACUACGUGCCAGCAGCCGCGGUAAUACGUAGGGGGCAAGCGUUGUCCGGAAUUAUUGGGCGUAAAGCGCGCGCAGGCGGCCUUGUAAGUCUGUUGUUUAAACUUGGGGCACAACCCCAAGUCGCAAGGGAAACUGCAAAGCUUGAGUACAGAAGAGGAAAGUGGAAUUCCACGUGUAGCGGUGAAAUGCGUAGAGAUGU